GAUGAACGCUGGCGGCGUGCCUAAUACAUGCAAGUCGAGCGAACAGACGAGGAGCUUGCUCCUCUGACGUUAGCGGCGGACGGGUGAGUAACACGUGGAUAACCUACCUAUAAGACUGGGAUAACUUCGGGAAACCGGAGCUAAUACCGGAUAAUAUAUUGAACCGCAUGGUUCAAUAGUGAAAGACGGUUUUGCUGUCACUUAUAGAUGGAUCCGCGCCGCAUUAGCUAGUUGGUAAGGUAACGGCUUACCAAGGCAACGAUGCGUAGCCGACCUGAGAGGAUGAUCGGCCACACUGGAACUGAGACACGGUCCAGACUCCUACGGGAGGCAGCAGUAGGGAAUCUUCCGCAAUGGGCGAAAGCCUGACGGAGCAACGCCGCGUGAGUGAUGAAGGUCUUCGGAUCGUAAAACUCUGUUAUUAGGGAAGAACAAAUGUGUAAGUAACCAUGCACGUCUUGACGGUACCUAAUCAGAAAGCCACGGCUAACUACGUG
rnacentral:rRNA from 1 species